GAUGAAGAACGCAGCGAAAUGCGAUAAGUAAUGUGAAUUGCAGAAUUCAGUGAAUCAUCGAAUCUUUGAACGCACAUUGCGCCCCCUGGUAUUCCGGGGGGCAUGCCUGUCCGAGCGUCAUUACAACCCUCAAGCUCAGCUUGGUGUUGGGCCCCGCCGCCCCGGCGGGCCCUAAAGUCAGUGGCGGUGCCGUCCGGCUCCGAGCGUAGUAAUUCUUCUCGCUAUGGAGUCCUGGUGGAUGCUUGCCAUCAACCCCCAAUUUUUCUAUGGUUGACCUCGGAUCAGGUAGGGAUACCCGCUGAACUUAAGCAUAUCAAUAAGCGGAGGA
rnacentral:misc_RNA from 1 species